rnacentral:ncRNA from 1 species
GAUAACUGGCUUGUGGCGGCCAAGUGUUCAUAGUGACAUCGCUUUUUGAUCCUUCGAUGU